rnacentral:rRNA from 1 species
AUUGAACGCUAGCGGCAUGCUUAACACAUGCAAGUCGAACGGUAACAGGAGAGCUUGCUCUCGCUGACGAGUGGCGGACGGGUGAGUAAUGCUUAGGAAUCUGCCCAGUAGCGGGGGACAACGUGUGGAAACGCACGCUAAUACCGCAUACGCCCUACGGGGAAAGCAGGGGAGUCUUCGGACCUUGCACUAUUGGAUGAGCCUAAGUCAGAUUAGCUUGUUGGUGGGGUAAAAGCCUACCAAGGCGACGAUCUGUAGCUGGUCUGAGAGGACGAUCAGCCACACUGGAACUGAGACACGGUCCAGACUCCUACGGGAGGCAGCAGUGGGGAAUAUUGGACAAUGGGCGCAAGCCUGAUCCAGCAAUGCCGCGUGUGUGAAGAAGGCCUGCGGGUUGUAAAGCACUUUCAGUAAGGAGGAAAAGUAUGUAGUUAAUAACUGCGUACCCUGACGUUACUUACAGAAGAAGCACCGGC